CCUACGGGUGGCUGCAGUGGGGGAUAUUGCACAAUGGGGGGAACCCUGAUGCAGCGACGCCGCGUGGGUGAAGGAGUGCUUCGGCAUGUAAAGCCCUAUCGGCAGGGAAGAAGCAAGACGGUACCUGACUAAGAAGCCCCGGCUAACUACGUGCCAGCAGCCGCGGUAAUACGUAGGGGGUGAGCGUUAUCCGGAUUCACUGGGUGUAAAGGGAGCGUAGACGGCCAUGCAAGCCAGGGGUGAAAGCCCGGGGCCCAACCCCGGGACUGCCCUUGGAACUGCGUGGCUAGAGUGCAGGAGGGGCAGGCGGAAUUCCUGGUGUAGCGGUGAAAUGCGUAGAUAUCAGGAGGAACACCGGUGGCGAAGGCGGCCUGCUGGACUGCAACUGACGUUGAGGCCCGAAAGCGUGGGGAGCAAACAGGAUUAGAUACCCGGGUAGUC
rnacentral:rRNA from 1 species